CCCAACCCAGGGAUCGAACUGUCUUUUAAUUAUAAUCAUCUGACAAUGUUUAUUAACUAACUCCACCAUCUAGACAGAAGAUUUAUGAAAGAGGGACAUCUAGGGCCCUUGGCGUUGCAUCACAAGUGCCCAAGACAACACCUUGCACAAAGCAAAUAAUGCUAGUUGAAUUUAAAAACCUGCCAAAUGUAUCUUGAUUCACAACCCAAUCAUAUAACUUUAGGCAAUUCAUGAUGCUGUACCAAUGAAAUCCAAACCAAAAGAAAAAAAAAUGUAUCUAUCUAAGCAGUCUUUUGGAUCCUUUAAUGCUGUCAUUUAAAAUCUGAUCUUUCUCAAUGUAAAUGUUCUGUCUUGAUGCCUCCUUUAAAAGGUGAGUUUUCUUUGAAAUGAAUGAUGACUUCUAUAAACUUUGUAACCCCCAAAAUUGUUAGAAGUGGAAGUUCUUAAUUAUUGGUAGUAGUGAUUGUGUCUUGAUGGGGAAAAUAACCCCUCAAGGGAAAAUGAAAUUCCUAAAUGCACAGAUUUGACUUAAUACUGUAAAAUAAGUAAGUAAUACAUAUCAAACUUUAAGCUCCAGUAUUCAAUUAACAUAAGAAACUUAAUUCCUCAGUACAGCUGAAUGGUAACUUUCUGACUCCUAGUGACUUAAUGCCUCAAUGUUUGCCUGUUUUAAAAAAAGUAAAAAGCAGGGUUUUGGUUUUUUUUUUUUUCAAAAUGUGUCAUUUUAUUUGAGCCACUUUGGAACACACAUAGUUGCUUUUUUUUUUUUUCCGGUUAACAGAGCAGUACAGGACACCAUUAGCUCCUCCUAAGUAAACUCAACACUCCCCAGGAGGAGAAGGAAAAGGAAACAGGAAAGGGGGAGGGACCACACGGAAAAGUGAAAACAACCUAUCUGCCAAAGGGCUGGUUGUGUAAGGUGAAGCACCUCCUGCAGAAACCAGAUUUCAAACAAAUCUGGAGCGAGGGGUAAGAUCCAACUCUCCAAGUGCUGUUGCAGCAGAUUACCUGAAAAUAAAUUCUGAUGGUACUGAGGACUGAUCUAAUAGAGUAGCAGGGCCCCCUACGUGCUACUCGCAUCAAGUAUCUCUCCACGCCACUCAUCCUCCAUUCUAGGGAAAUACAAAUCACAUCCCCGCUUUAAGCAGGUGAGGAAACUGAGGCUGUCAGAGAGCGAAACUCAUUUGCGCACAGCUGCGGACAGCUGAGAAGUGGUCAAGUCGUAACUGGAACGCAGAGAGAAGCAGAAAGUAAAGAAAGAGAAGCACGAAAAAAAAAAAGAGAGAAGCAUGGUUUUCGGAUCCUAAGAAAGUAAACAGAAUGCUGAGUCAAACAGCUCAGAAGAGUAUAAAGUGAAAUGAAGUCCUUCUGCUCGCCUCCCAGAGGCAGCUGCAAUGAACAGGAUCUUAGUUCCCCAACCAGGAACUGAACCCAGGGCCACAGCAGUGAAAAGUGCCAGGUCCUAACCACUGGCCCACCAGGAAAUUCCCCCGAGGCUGAUCUUGAACUCACCAUCCUCUGAGGACAAGGGCGCUUGAGCCAAAUGCACCACAAGCCUGAGGUGCUGGGAU